GACGAACGCUGGCGGCGUGCUUAACACAUGCGAGUCGAACGGAAAGGCCCUGCUUUUGUGGGGUGCUCGAGUGGCGAACGGGUGAGUAACACGUGAGUAACCUGCCCUUGACUUUGGGAUAACUUCAGGAAACUGGGGCUAAUACCGGAUAGGAGCUCCUGCUGCAUGGUGGGGGUUGGAAAGUUUCGGCGGUUGGGGAUGGACUCGCGGCUUAUCAGCUUGUUGGUGGGGUAGUGGCUUACCAAGGCUUUGACGGGUAGCCGGCCUGAGAGGGUGACCGGCCACAUUGGGACUGAGAUACGGCCCAGACUCCUACGGGAGGCAGCAGUGGGGAAUAUUGCACAAUGGGCGGAAGCCUGAUGCAGCAACGCCGCGUGCGGGAUGACGGCCUUCGGGUUGGAAACCGCUUUCGCCUGUGACGAAGCGUGAGUGACGGUAAUGGGUAAAGAAGCACCGGCUAACUACGUGC
rnacentral:rRNA from 1 species